UGCAUAUCAAAAAGCGGAGGAAAAGAAACCAACAGGGAUUGCCUUAGUAACGGCGAGUGAGCGGCAAAAGCUCAAAUUUGAAAUCUGGCACCUUCGGUGUCCGAGUUGUAAUUUGAAGAAGGUAACUUUGGAGUUAGCUCUUGUCUAUGUUCCUUGGAACAGGACGUCACAGAGGGUGAGAAUCCCGUGCGAUGAGAUGUCUAACUCUAUGUAAAGUGCUUUCGAAGAGUCGAGUUGUUUGGGAAUGCAGCUCUAAGUGGGUGGUAAAUUCCAUCUAAAGCUAAAUAUUGGCGAGAGACCGAUAGCGAACAAGUACAGUGAUGGAAAGAUGAAAAGAACUUUGAAAAGAGAGUGAAAAAGUACGUGAAAUUGUUGAAAGGGAAGGGUUUGAGAUCAGACUUGGUAUUUUGUAUGUCUUGCUUUCGGGUGGGGCCUCUGCAGUUUACUGGGCCAGCAUCGGUUUGGAUGGUAGGAUAAUGACAUUGGAAUGUGGCACUACUUCGGUGGUGUGUUAUAGACUUUGUUGAUACUGCCUGUCUAGACCGAGGACUGCGUCUUUGACUAGGAUGCUGGCAUAAUGAUCCUAAACCGCCCGUCUUGAAACCACGAGACCA
rnacentral:rRNA from 1 species